GGGGAAAAACAACUUGCUUUUAUUAUUACAGAGAAUUAACACCACGCAAAAGUAGACAGAAUAGUAUAAUGAACUCUUAUGCACCAUUGCUCAGCGUCGAUCAUUUAUGACCAAUCUUACCUACCCCUACUUUCUCUGUUGUUCUCAAAUGAAUUUUGGAGCCGAAUUUGUAUCAUUCUCAGAAACCGCAUCGUUCAUCUGUAAGGAUUUCAGUAUAUAUCUCAAAAAGAUAAGGACUGCGGUCUGCUCUCCCCACAGAUCACCCAGGAAACCUGCUGGUCAGAGCUGAGUUAUCGAGCGCCUGGCAAGGACGGACAUUAGCUGACAGUCUUAGUAAUGAUUCUAAAGGAGAUGGCUGUCCAGUUGCCCAGCGUCAGUUAUUACAAAGGCCAUCCUUUCUCCACUGCCCUUCGAUGCGUUUUAUUUGUAAGUCGCCCGUCUGCGUACGCUCAGGUCUACUUCUGGGCUCUCUGCCACGUGCCAGCGGCCGAAUCUCACUCCUGAGGCGUCUCAGGGCAACUUGUCAGGUUCUACAAGAAGAUACUGCCAGGGGGUUGAUCGGAACUGCAUCACACUUAGAUCAACUUUAGGAGGGCAUCAAACUGUGGUUUUGGGUCACAUCUCCUCAAUUACUAAUAAUGUUGAGCAUCAUUUCAUGUGCUCCUUGGCCAUUUAUGUACCUUCCUUGGAGAAAUGUCCGUUAAGUCCUUUGCUGAUUUUAAAAUUGGGCUGUCAUUUUGCUACUGAGUUCUAAGAGUUCUUUAUAUAUUCUGGAUACUAGGCUCAUCAGCUAUGUGAUUUGUGGAUAUUUUCUCCCAUUCUGAGUUUCCUUUUCACUCUCUUGACAGUGUCCUUUGAUGCACAAAAGAUGUUAAGUUUAGGGGCGCCUGGGUGGCUCAGUCAGUUGGGCAUCCGACUUUGGCUCAGGUCAUGAUCUCACAGUUCAUGAGUUCGAGCCCCGUGUCGGGCUCUGUGCUGACAGCUCAGAGCCUGGAGCCUGCUUCGGAUUCUGUGUCUCCCUGUCUCUCUGCCUCAUUUCCACUCAUGCUCUGUCUCUGUCUUAAAAAUAAAUAAAACAUUAAAAAAAAAGAUGUUAAGUUUAUGA